rnacentral:rRNA from 1 species
GAUGAACGCUGGCGGCGUGCCUAAUACAUGCAAGUCGAGCGAACGGACGAGAAGCUUUCUUCUCUGAUGUUAGCGGCGGACGGGUGAGUAACACGUGGAUAACCUACCUAUAAUACUGGGAUAACUUCGGGAAACCGGAGCUAAUACCGGAUAAUAUUUUGAACCGCAUGGUUCAAAAGUUAUAGACGGUCUUGCUGUUACUUAUAGAUGGAUCCGCGCUGCAUUAGCUAGUUGGUAAGGUAACGGCUUACCAAGGCAACGAUGCAUAGCCGACCUGAGAGGGUGAUCGGCCACACUGGAACUGAGACACGGUCCAGACUCCUACGGGAGGCAGCAGUAGGGAAUCUUCCGCAAUGGGCGCAAGCCUGACGGAGCAACGCCGCGUGAGUGAUGAAGGUCUUCGGAUCGUAAAACUCUGUUAUUAGGGAAGAACAUAUGUGUAAGUAACUGUGCACAUCUUGACGGUACCUAAUCAGAAAGCCACGGCUAACUACGUG